rnacentral:lncRNA from 1 species
GUAUUUCCAAAGUCAGCCUGGUAGCUUUUGUCACCAGGGGAAGUUGCAGCCAGUUCUCAUAGACAAACUGGUCAUCUCGGUGCCACUGCAUAUGAGUACCAGAAGACACAGCGUACCACCCGAGGCACAUUGCCUAUUCUGAGUAAGAGUGACAAAGAGUAACAUUAAGAGUUUUCAAACCCAGGCAUCUAUGUGUAACAAAAGCCAACCAUUCCCCAAAGGCCUUGAAGUGUCUCUGUGUACCCUUUGAACCCACUUGCUUGCUGGAUGUUGGCACUGGGGGCUAGAAGUAAGGGCAACAGAACUUGAUGAAUUACACAUAUUAUGGAAGUGAAACAAACAACAGGUUCCUGGGCAGUCUUCGUAACAAAUGUCCUAGUGUCUGAAAGAUCAGUAUUUUUCCUUACCGGCCAGACCAAUGGUGACACAAGGCUCCUCUCCAGGGUGAUGGCAAUGUCUUCCAGGUGUAGUGGAGCAUGGAAAACAGUCACAUUUCCUCAGUCCCGGUGCUCAGUCUCCUUUCGAUCCUGGGCUUGAUAUGAGUUUUUGCCCUUUAAACAAUACACGCACAGGUUUCUACCCAAUCCUGGUCAAGUAAGUUUUGGAGCACCUUAUGAGUUAAUGGCAGUCAAAUUUCAUCAGCCAAAAGCUUGGCCCUUGUGCCUGGCCCCAGAUAUUAUAGACCUUUAAGGCCUCCUCCACCAACACUGACAACAGAGUCUGGGGUCCUGUCUCAAAUUUUUGUAACUUCCUUCUGACACCUGGAGCAGACUGCAUUAUAAAAUGCAUGACCAUCAAAUCUGGGACACUUUUGCCAUUGAUCAUCCACAAUCUAACCUCUCAGCCUGGCUCACAGAGAUUACUUUUGGAGCUGAAAUAUACCUUACUCAUCAUCUGAGAUGCAAUCAACAGCUUUAUUCUACCACUGGAGUAAAGGAGGCCUUGACAGCUGGAAAUGCUUGCUCAAGGCUAGACUCUGCACCCAGCUCCCUCCCCUGCCACACGCUGGGCAGUGUCUCUCCCACCCACAAGCCUGGGACAAAAGUGAGAUGAUCUAUGAAUUAAAGAAAAAAUUGAUGAAAGAUCUUCUAAACCAAUCAACAAG